rnacentral:rRNA from 1 species
UCAGGAAUAUUGCGCAAUGGAGGAAACUCUGACGCAGCGACGCCGCGUGGGUGAUGAAGGCCUUCGGGUCGUAAAGCCCUGUCGGAGGGAAAGAAAAGUCUGCUGGCUAAUAUCCAGCGGACCCUUGACGGUACCCUCAAAGGAAGCACCGGCUAACUCCGUGCCAGCAGCCGCGGUAAGACGGAGGGUGCAAGCGUUGUUCGGAUUGACUGGGCGUAAAGGGCGUGUAGGCGGUCGGCUAAGUCUGAUGUGAAAGCCCGGGGCUCAGCCCUGGAAGUGCGUCGGAAACUAACCGGCUGGAGCGCGAUAGAGGAGGGUAGAAUUCCUGGUGUAGCGGUGAAAUGCGUAGAUAUCAGGAGGAAUACCGGCGGCGAAGGCGGCCCUCUGGAUCGUUGCUGACGCUGAGACGCGAAAGCGUGGGGAGCAAACAGGAUUAGAUACCCCCGUAGUCC